CCUACGGGAGGCAGCAGUGGGGAAUUUGGACAAUGGGCGAAAGCCUGAUCCAGCAAUGCCGCGUGCAGGAUGAAGGCCUUCGGGUUGUAAACUGCUUUUGUACGGAACGAAACGGUUCGCCUUAAUACGGUGGGCUAAUGACGGUACCGUAAGAAUAAGCACCGGCUAACUACGUGCCAGCAGCCGCGGUAAUACGUAGGGUGCGAGCGUUAAUCGGAAUUACUGGGCGUAAAGCGUGCGCAGGCGGUUAUAUAAGACAGAUGUGAAAUCCCCGGGCUCAACCUGGGACCUGCAUUUGUGACUGUAUAGCUAGAGUACGGUAGAGGGGGAUGGAAUUCCGCGUGUAGCAGUGAAAUGCGUAGAUAUGCGGAGGAACACCGAUGGCGAAGGCAAUCCCCUGGACCUGUACUGACGCUCAUGCACGAAAGCGUGGGGAGCAAACAGGAUUAGAUACCCUGGUAGUCCACGCCCUAAACGNUGUCACUGGUUGUUGGUCUUCACUGACUACAGUAACGAGACUAACGCGUAGAAGUUCGACCGCGUACGGUAGGUACGGCCGCGACGGUAGAACGUACGAAAGAAGUAGACGGCGUCGAGACGUAGACCGACGGACGACGACGAGGGAGGAGG
rnacentral:rRNA from 1 species